AAAAUCAGAGUUAGCAUAUAUGUUUGUUUAUUUGUUGCCUUUUUUCUUUCUUCUUGUUUCUAUGCUUUCAUGGAUUAAACUCCACAGCUUUGUACAAGCUUGACAAUUAUUCUACAGUGGUCAAAGUUCUGAACAAAAAGGUGACACCUGCUCAUCCAGCAGCCAUCAAUGUUAAUGUCAUAAGAUCAAACUAUUGACAAUCAACUUGUCCCUCUCUGCAUCCUAUUGCACGCUGAGGACAGAAUAUUUGGCGGAUGUUGUACCUGCCCCUGACACACUGCAACUCACUCUAAGUGAAAUCCUCAUCUCUUUGGAGCCUCCCCUUCAUUACAAGCACCAAACUCCUAGGUGACAUUAAAGAAAAAGUUUUAGGAUUUUACUUAAACUUCUCUGUAGCA
rnacentral:sRNA from 1 species